rnacentral:lncRNA from 1 species
AAAUAUCCCAAUCCCAUUAACCUAUUUCCCCCAUUUCCCAUUUCCCCUCUUUCACGUUUCUCCCUAACCCUAAGCCCGUGCCCUCCUCCCUUUUUUUCUCAAUUCGAGUUCACCUCCAGCAGCAAUCCACCUCCGGUCCUCCACCGAUCCAAGACCAGACCUCCACGGCUCCACCCAUUUCCAGAAUCAGAGGUUAGAGUGAAGCUACAAACGUUGUUGCCUUACAGUUCCUUUUUUGUUUGAUGUCUUUUCUGCUUAGUAGUUCGAAACCUUGUUUAUAAUAUGUCGUUGUUGCCUUACAGUUCCAUUUGUUUAGUCGUUCAAAAACCUUGUUGCUUCUUCCAUCCACUGACUGUUGUACCAAGUGCCUGGUUUAUAAUAUGUCUUCUGCUUUCUCUUAAUUUCUCUUACUUUCUCUUAUCCUGAACUUAACCAAGUACCUGAAAAAUAUUGUAGAAGACAAUCUGGUUUGCAGGCAUUUUUAUUAUUAACCUUGUUGUUUGUUGAUCUUUCAGCACACACUUCUUAUAUUUUGUUUUUUUUUCUUUCUUUGAUCUUUACUGUAAAUAUAAGUAAUCUUUCAUGGAUUUUAGAUUCACUCCCCCCUUUUGAAGAUCGGGUAAUUUAUAAUUUUUGUUAGAAGACAAAAUUUUGUCAAGAUUCUUGAGUUUGGUUUAAGAAUCUUUUUUAUAUCUGAAAUUGUAAGCUCAUUAUAGUAGCAAUUUUUUUUGGGAACGGUGGAAGCUUUGGAUCUGUCGUUGCUUCAAAGUAUUCUUUUGUUUCACUUGUCCCCAACGAGAUUUUAGUAAUGGAUGUUUACAGUUGGACAGCAUGCAGAUGCAGGCAAAGGGGCUAUGCCUUAGCCACUAUUUGCAGCAAUUGCAAUUUUUUUUAUUUUCCUAUAAUUUUUUAAUAAUGAAAGUAAAAAUAAAAAGAGUAAGGUUAAAUUAACAAAAGUUGUAAAACUUGAAGGGCUAAAUUUGUGAUUAUACUUAAUUUUUUUAACAGAGUUAAUGAAAUAAGUUGUAAAAGUACACUAGUACAGGGACCAAUUUAAAGCAAAUAUAAAUAUAAUAUUUAUUUUUAUCCAAUUCAUUCGGCAAGAAAUGGAAAAAAAUAAGUAAUCUUAUUUUAUUUUUUUUGUUCAUUAUAUACAAAAAAUAUAUAAUUUGAUAUAAUUUUAAUAACAACUAAUUUUAAUAACAAUUAGUUUUAAGAAAAAAAAGGCCAAGAUGGGCUCGGGCUUCGUAUUUUUUCCCUGGGCCGGGCCUAGACAAAAUCUCAGGCCCAUAUUUCGAGUCGGGCCGGGCCUAGGCCUAGGAAGUGGGCGGAAAAUUUUUUGGGCCCGGCCCGGCCCAUGAGCACCUUUAGUGACCGAUCAUGAUUUAUGUUUAAGUUUAAUAUAUAUAUUAAACAAAUUUAAGUUAAUAGAUUUUGUUAAAUUAAAAAUAAGAAUGAAAAAAAAAAGAGUAUAGUGGAGAGAAAUAGAAAGGAGAUCAUUCUUCUUUUCCUUUAACCUUUGCAUGCCGUAUUGGAGAAAGAAAUGGGAGGAGCUUUGGGACAUUUAGUUACAUGCUUUGAAGCUAAAUUUCGUUCUCUUUACAUAAAUUUUGUGUUUUUGGAACCGCAAAAUCAUGAGUUAAAUUACCUAUGUUGAAAAUUUUAGAAUUUUUGAAAUUAAUAGAAGUUACUAUGGUAGAAAAAUUUAAGUUUUUGAUAUGAUUUUGGUAAAUUUUUAAAGUUGGAAGUGAAGUGAGAUGAUUUGUAAAGUCAAUUCAUGAAAUUGUACAUUGAGGAUAAUUAUGGAAAAUGUUAAAAAUAUGGGGUUAAAUUGUUUAUUUAUGUGAAAUUAUCGAAAUAUAAAAAUAAUAUGUCAUUGAGAUAUUUUGAAGUCUUUUAUUUGAAAGAGUUUUGUUUGGGUGCUUGAUGUUGAAACUCUGUUAUUUUAUAGAGUAAAAUAUUUACGACAUUUAAAAAUUAGGGAUUUAAUUGAGUAAAUUGUAAAUGAGAAGGAUUUUUAUUAUAAAUUAAAUAUAUAUAUAGGCUGUAUAUUAAGGGUUAAGUAUUCGGCAAUAUUGGGUUAUGUGUUAAUUGUGGAAUUAACUUGUUUGAUAUGAUGGAUUAAAUUGUAUAGGAUGUAAAUGUUUUGGGGCAAAUGUGUAAAUGUGUAAAUAAGUAGCUAAAUGUAUUGAAUUGAAUGGUAUAUGAAAUUGAGAUUAAUAAUUUAAAUAAAUUAUAUUAUAGAUCAAGAACAAAUUAAUAAUCAAGGAAAAAGGAAGGUAGCCGAAUAGUCCCUAGACUUUUGUCAUUUCUACAAUUUAGCCGAUAAGUUCGUAGUCUUUGAACUCAAACUAUAUUUAUUUAAUUUAAAUACUUAAUUAUUACUUUGAUAUCUUAAUUAUAUUUAUAUAUAUGCAAAUGAUUAAAUUAUGAAAUGAGAAAUUGUGAAUAUAUAUGCAAAUGAUUAAAUUAUUAAAUGAGAAAUUGUGAAUUAUAUACAUGAAAUGUGAUAUUAUGAAUGAAUCAAUAAAUGAUUAGAAUUUAAAUUGAUAGUAUGAAAAUGUUAUAUAUAGAGAUGUAUUGCCGAAUGAUGAGAUUGAAGUUGAAUAAUGUUGAUUAAUGUACGGAGUAAAAUAAAAUCUCGUGUUUACAUGCUAGGUAAGUUCGUAGUCCUCGAACUCGAACUUUAAAAAUUAUUUUAAUUAACUUAGUUACUACUUGAUGUCUUAUUAUAUCCUUAAAGUAUUUGUUAAUCCAAUUGAAUGGAGGUUUAUGGAAUGUAGCAUUAUGGAAUAAAUUAAUGUAUGAUUAGUAGAUAAUUGGAGUGGAAGUGUUAUUAAAUUAUGAAAUGUGAUAUUGAGUUCUGAAAAGUAAAAUUAUGGACUUGCAAAUGAGUAAUUAACAUCGUCAAUUCGUUCGACUAGCGCUGGGAGCAAAUAUCGUUGGUUUGUCCAACUAGAGCUGGGCUCACUAAUUAUUCCAUCAGUUUAUCCGACUAGCGUUAGGUGCAACUUCCGUCAGUUUAUCUGACUAGUGCUGGGCACAAAUUUAUGGUUUAUCUGACUAGCGCUGGGCGCAAAGUUUUUCGCGGAUUAUCCGCUAUGGCACCAGGUGUCGUGUAUCAACUGGAUUAUACAACAAGGUUUUAUGAAUCAUCUAAGAAGGAUGGUUAUAGGUAUUACUAAAGAAGAUUAUAUUUACUUAUGUAUAUACAUUUAUUCAUUAGAAGAUAUGAUGUAUUCUUGAGUUAGAUUAUUAAAGUUGUGAAAUAAAUUCAAAUGCUUUAGAUAUACUUAUGGUUAUUUGAAUAAGUGAAGUUGCUUAUUAUGGAUUGGUUUGUGCCAUAAUAUAAGUAAAUUGUUGGUUGAUCUAUGCAAAACUAUUUAUAUAGCAAGUGAUGUGAAUUGAGAUAUAUGUUCAAACCAACUAAAUGUGAAUACUUGUGAAAGUUGAGUAUAGCAUGAAAUAAUGUGAUGAAGUGCAUGAAAUUUAAAUGGUGAUAUCUUGUAAUUGUAUGUUUAGAUAGUAGUAUGAUGAUAUAAUUCAAUUUGAGCAUUCAUGUAUCAUAUCAUGUCUUAAAAUGUUCGAGUUAUAGAAAUAUCACUGAGUUUUACUCAGCGUGCCGUUUUGUUUUCCGUGCGAAGGUUAGGUACUCUGUUUUUGAUCGCCAACUCAGCAUCCAACAAAAAUCCCGAUCUCAAGUGUGGGGAUGUUUAAUUUUGUAAUGACAUGUACCUAGGAUGUCUUUGAUUGUUAGUUGUUUUGUGAAUGUGAUGUAAUUUGAGUUAUAAGUAUAUAUUUGUGUUUGAAGCUAAAUGUUAGUAUGUGUUUUGACCAAAUACUUUAUAUGUGUAUGAAACUUAAAGCUUAGAUAUCUUAAGUAGCUUUAUGUUAGGCUAAAUGAGUGAUUUUGGCAUACUUUAAAAUUUGAUUUGGAUGAUGCAUUGUUGAUGUGUUUUAAUGAUAUAAAAUGUGGUACCAAUGAACAUUGGUUAGGCACUUAGGAUAAUUGUUUUGGCAUGUUUUGAGUAUGUUUAAUCGUAUUUUGAGUAGGUUAAAUGAUUGGUAUUUGAAUUGCUUAAGGCCCAAGUAAGCUUGAAAUGGUAAGCUUGUUGUUUAAGGUACAUUUUAGGUCCACACAGCAAAAGACACGGGCGUGUGACUCGAUUGUGUGAGGUACACGGGCGUGUCACUAGGCAGUGUGAGGCACACGGCCAUGUGACCCCUUUCUUCAAUUUUUGUGAAUUUUUCCUA